rnacentral:rRNA from 1 species
GACGAACGCUGGCGGCGUGCCUAAUACAUGCAAGUCGAACGAGAGCGACCGGUGCUUGCACUGGUCAAUCUAGUGGCGAACGGGUGAGUAACACGUGGGUAACCUGCCCAUCAGAGGGGGAUAACAUCCGGAAACGGAUGCUAAAACCGCAUAGGUCCUUUAACCGCAUGGUUGAAGGAGGAAAAGAGGCGCAAGCUUCUGCUGAUGGAUGGACCCGCGGUGCAUUAGCUAGUUGGUGAGGUAACGGCUCACCAAGGCCGUGAUGCAUAGCCGACCUGAGAGGGUGAUCGGCCACAUUGGGACUGAGACACGGCCCAAACUCCUACGGGAGGCAGCAGUAGGGAAUCUUCCGCAAUGGACGCAAAGUCUGACGGGAGCAAACGCCCGCGUGAGUGAAAGAAAGGUUUUUCGGGAUUCGUAAAAACUUCUGGUGUUAGAGAA